rnacentral:lncRNA from 1 species
UCUCAGCCUCAUCCAGACCUACCCGACCUAUGUCUGUGUUUUCCAGAACCCUGCAUAACUAACGUGACAAGCUGUGCUGGACUCGGUUGCAAAUGGCUGCCAGGAAGUUAUUGAUACUAAAAUCUCAGCUUCUGGUGGAUUUGGGCGUUCCUUGGCUUGUGGCUGCAUCACUAGCCCUUAUUCAAUGACCUCAGGAGCUCAUCUGUCCCUUCCACCACAUGAGGACACAGAAGGAAGGUGCCGUGAGAACUGGAAAGUGGGUCCGCACAAGACACUGAAUCUGUCAGCACCUUGACUUCCCAGCCUCCAGAACUGACAUAAAUAAAUAUCUGUUGUUUAUAAGCCACCCAGUCUAUAAUACUUUGUUAUAGCAGCCCAGACUGACUCAGGCAAACAAUAAGAACAGCUCCUAACAUACAGCGGAGACUCAAUAAACAUUGUUGAAUGAAAUCA